ACGAACGCUGGCGGCAGGCUUAACACAUGCAAGUCGAGCGCCUCGCAAGAGGAGCGGCAGACGGGUGAGUAACGCGUGGGAAUCUACCCAGCUCUACGGAAUAACUCAGGGAAACUUGUGCUAAUACCGUAUACGUCCGAUAGGAGAAAGAUUUAUCGGAGUUGGAUGAGCCCGCGUUGGAUUAGCUAGUUGGUGGGGUAAUGGCCUACCAAGGCGACGAUCCAUAGCUGGUCUGAGAGGAUGAUCAGCCACACUGGGACUGAGACACGGCCCAGACUCCUACGGGAGGCAGCAGUGGGGAAUAUUGGACAAUGGGCGCAAGCCUGAUCCAGCCAUGCCGCGUGAGUGAUGAAGGCCCUAGGGUUGUAAAGCUCUUUCACCGGUGAAGAUAAUGACGGUAACCGGAGAAGAAGCCCCGGCUAACUUCGUGCCAGCCGCCGCGGUAAU
rnacentral:rRNA from 1 species